rnacentral:rRNA from 1 species
GACGAACGCUGGCGGCGUGCUUAACACAUGCAAGUCGAGCGGAAAGGCUCCUUCGGGAGUACUCGAGCGGCGAACGGGUGAGUAACACGUGGGUAAUCAACCUCUGAUUCUGGGAUACCCCGGGGAAACCCGGAUCAAUACCGGAUAAGGUGCGGAGACGCAGGUCGCCGUACCAAAGGUAGCUUCGGCCUCCGAUCAGAGACGAGCCCGCGGCCCAUUAGCUAGUUGGUGGGGUAAUGGCCUACCAAGGCGACGAUGGGUAGCUGGUCUGAGAGGACGAUCAGCCACACUGGGACUGAGACACGGGCCCAGACUCCUACGGGAGGCAGCAGUGGGGAAUCUUGCGCAAUGGGCGGAAGCCUGACGCAGCAACGCCGCGUGCGGG